GACGAACGCUGGCGGCGUGCUUAACACAUGCAAGUCGAACGGAAAGGCCCUGCUUUUGUGGGGUGCUCGUGUGGCGAACGGGUGAGUAACACGUGAGUAACCUGCCCUUGACUUUGGGAUAACUUCAGGAAACUGGGGCUAAUACCGGAUAGGAGCUCCUGCUGCAUGGUGGGGGUUGGUAAGUUUCGGCGGUUGGGGAUGGACUCGCGGCUUAUCAGCUUGUUGGUGGGGUAGUGGCUUACCAAGGCUUUGACGGGUAGCCGGCCUGAGAGGGUGACCGGCCACAUUGGUACUGAGGUACGGCCCAGACGCCUACGGGAGGCAGCAGUGGGGAGUAUUGCACAGUGGGCGGAAGCCUGAUGCAGCAACGCCGCGUGCGGGAUGACGGCCUUCGGGUUGUAAACCGCUUUCGCCUGUGACGAAGCGUGAGUGACGGUAAUGGGUAAAGAAGCACCGGCUAACUACGUG
rnacentral:rRNA from 1 species